rnacentral:rRNA from 1 species
UACGGGGGGGGGCAAGCGUUGUUCGGAAUUACUGGGCGUAAAGGGCUUGUAGGUGGCCAACUAAGUCCGACGUGAAAUCCCUAGGCUUAACCUAGGAACUGCGUCGGAUACUGGAUGGCUUGAAUCCGGGAGAGGGAUGCGGAAUUCCAGGUGUAGCGGUGAAAUGCGUAGAUAUCUGGAGGAACACCGGUGGCGAAGGCGGCAUCCUGGACCGGUAUUGACACUGAAAAGCGAAAGCCAGGGGAGCAAACGGG